rnacentral:rRNA from 1 species
ACACGUAGGGGAUGAGCGUUGUCCGGAAUGAUUGGGCGUAAAGGGCGCGUAGGCGGCUUUGCAAGUCCGUAGUGGAAGUCCAUUUUUCAAGGAUGGAAGUGCUACAGAAACUGCGGAGCUUGAGUGCAGGAGAGGUUAUCGGCAUUCCCGGUGUAGCGGUGAAAUGCGUAGAGAUCGGGAGGAACACCAGUGGCGAAGGCGGGUAACUGGACUGCAACUGACGCUGAGGCGCGAAAGUGUGGGGAGCAAACAGGAUUAGAUUCCCUGGUAGUCCACACUGUAAACGAUGAAGGCUAGGUGUAGGAGGUAUCGACCCCUUCUGUGCCGCAGUAAACACAGUAAGCAUUCCGCCUGGGGAGUACGGUCGCAAGAUUAAAACUCAAAGGAAUUGACGGGG